GGUUUUUUAAAAAUCAUAUUCAUUCGGUUUGUAUGGUAUAUACCAAAUCCAAACCAUAUUAUCUAUUUCAGUUCGGUUCGGUUCGGUACGGUUCGGUACGGUUCGGUUUUGCCAUAUUGAACAGUCCUAGUUAUGACAACGCCCAUUUACGUUUCAGGCGGCUCUUAUGCCAGCCACCGUUGCAGCUAGCUGGGUUCCAACCUUUGGUCCCCAUCUCAUGGCGGGGUCGAUGUAUUCUUAACCGGUUUUGAAGUGGCUCGGUGUAAUCCAAACUUCAGGCUAACGGACUCUUCUUUGUUGAUCCGGUUCAGUGAUGCAACCUCCUUAAAGGUGUUGACUGAACCGAGUUUUCCGCUGCCUGAAGAAUGUUUCCGAUUUCGUAGUCGGAGUGAAAUGCUUGCUCUAGCAAACACCAGCUCUCAACUCUCGGACAACAUUGGGGAGAUCACGGCGGUUAAGAGUUCCGUCAGUGACCCUCCGGGAGACAAAAAUCACUCUGACGGCGACGCACAGACUCAGCCUUCACAUGUUUGCACUGCGACAAUACAUAUGCGGUUGGUGCUCUCCUGUAUGUAACACACUGUAUUAUAUAGAUUAUGUUUCACCAUCACACGGAUACUUAACGGACUUUAUCAACUUCCCUGCAUCCGUUGAUAAUGUGAGUGUUACUAUUGUUUUGCCAUGGCGCUUUCAUGUACUAUAAAUUAAUAAAGAUUAUUGGACAUGAUCAGGGAGACAACGUGAAAAAGGGGGACGACAUACCAGUUGACAACACGGUUCCUGCUGAGGUUGAAACCGGGGGUAGCAGUCAGCAGGCAGCACCGGAUGCAACAGCAGUCCCAAAUGGUAAAGAACCACAGGAGCCUUCAGCCAAAGCAGCUCGCUUUAUGAUUUGGCAACAGAGUUACUUUAUCUCAAAAAAUGCUUUUGCAUCAAUGUUGGUUUUUUUUUAAAUUAAGGAUGUUGUGUCUGCUCCUGGUUUUUAACUUCCUGAACAAUCUUUAUUUUCUGAAAUUCCUAUAAAAUUUAUGUUUGGU